GUGAAAUUUAGCCUCUGCCCAUGAACGAGUACGAGGCUUAAUUAUUUUGAUAAAUUUUACGACUCGCGGUAGUGCAGGUAUGAUCGUGAUGAUACAUAUAGUAUCGUCGAGGGAGCAUGAACGUAUUCUAUGUCGUACAGUUCGAUAAAAUCUUGUAAUGUAGCAGUCGCUGAUACAAGAUAGCCCAUUGUUACUCCAUGGAGAUUUUAAUCAGUGUUGCGGGUCAGGUUGUAGGUUGAAAGAGCCGGGUGUCUAAUUUUAGAGAUGGAAGAUUUAAUGGGAACGGUUCAUGGUCGAAGGUGUCAUUUGUGGGCGAGUGGAACAUUAAAUUUGUACGAGGACAAGCGAGACAGGAAGGGAUGUUCAGACCUUUGGAGAAAUUCGAAGAAUGGGGACGAGUGAAACUUUGAGAAUAUGCGAUUGUUAGGGAUCUUCCCUCGUGGAUCUCUCGGAUUUUUGACAGCUUUCAGGGAGGGCCGAAACGGACGCGAAUUUAUCUCGUACCCGGGGAUAAAGUAACCCUACGGGCUACGAGAAUAAAUUAUCGUAAUCCCUCGUGGGCUUACGUCUCCCGCUACCUGUUCCCACGGAUUUACAUUCGAAUUUUUGCGAUUUACAUUUUUACAGGACCGGAGUUGCCAAAAAAAAAAAAAAGAAGAAGAAAAAAGAAGAUGCUUCCCCUUCGUCGAUUCAUCCAAACGAUCGCAACCCUUUGAGCGCCCCUUCGUCAAAAAUUCACUUGCUUUAAAUUUUCGCAGCGAAAGCGCGAAAUUAAACGGAAAUAGAACGAAUCGAAACGUUAAAUUACACAUCAUUCUCACAAAUAACGGCUCCCUUUGUCAUUGGAGCGUAAAUAAUCCCGAUUUGGUCGCGGAAAUUUAAUUCCGCUGUUC